CCUACGGGAGGCUGCAGUGAGGAAUAUUGGUCAAUGGACGAGAGUCUGAACCAGCCAAGUAGCGUGAAGGAUGACUGCCCUAUGGGUUGAAAACUUCUUGUAUAAAGGGAUAAAACGAGGCACGUGUGCCUUUUUGCAUGUACUUUACGAAUAAGGAACGGCUAACUCAGUGCCAGCAGCCGAGGUAAGACGGAGGAUCCGAGCGUUAUCCGGAUUUAUUGGGGUUAAAGGGAGAGUAGUGGGGUUGUUAAGUCAGUUGUGAAAGUUUGCGGCUCAACCGUAAAAUUGCAAUUGAUACUGGCAGUCUUGAGUACAGUUGAGGUAGGCGGAAUUCGUGGUGUAGCGGUGAAAUGCUUAGAUAUCACGAAGAACUCCGAUUGCGAAGGCAGCUUACUAAACUGCCACUGACAUUGAUGCUCGAAAGUGUGGGUAUCAAACAGGAUUAGAUACCCUUGUAGUC
rnacentral:rRNA from 1 species